ACGCACCUGAGCAACAACACUGUUAUGAUUCUGACCCGGAUCACAUGACCCACAAGUUCAACUGGGGUUAGAAGACGACGCCAGACCACUCACCCGUCCUCGUUGCCAAUGGCAACCACUUUCCCAUCAGGCUUCCAGCUGAGAUUCUGCUGAGUCAUGGCGAGUGGACAGUGUGUUGGGACUCACCGGACGUCAUCGGGGGGACGGGCGGUCCCCACGCUAACGUGUACACAGUCCUCCUGUGAUACGAGCUGGAAACCUGUGGCGGCCUGAAGAAGAAGAAACUUUGAGAUUCUCAUACUUUUCUCAAAAAGACACAGUAACCACGACGACGCACAAAAACAGAAAAAAGAUUCAAUCUUACUUGUUUGAGAAAACGUCGUAGAUUCCAACUUUACCGUCAUCUGUUCCAAACGCCAGAGAUCCUUCUUUCUUCGGAUGCCACGCUAACUGCAGGCAACAAAAGCGAGGACCAGCAGCUUCUGAGCAUCACCACCCUCUCUUACCGCUGUGACCUUGGACUUGAUGCCCUGCCAGAAUGACCUGGUGUCGUACUGGUUCUGGGUGGUCAGCGUGUUCCAGACCCGGAUCAUGUUGUCGCCGACGCCAAGUGCCAGACAUCCCGCCCCCACAGGAGAGAAGGCGAGCUUGUAAACGAAGCCGCCGAGUGUGGGCAGAGUCCAGCAGCAGUCGAGAGACGACAGGUCCCAGCACUUAAUCUGCAGAGACAGGUUCUGUUAGGACUGGACCGGGACCGGUUAGCCUGCACGUUAGCCUGGUACAAGGUCCUGUUAGAAAGUUCUGACCCAGUCAGGGAUAAUGAUUCUGGUGGUUUUGACACUGGUUCUGGUUCUGACACACCUCUCGGUCCAUGGACGUGCUGAUGAGCAGCUCUCUGUCGUCCUGAAGAACUGAGCUCAUGUUGAAGACGAUCCUGCUGUGGUUCUGACCGUCUGACGACGUCCCCAACAAGGUCCACCGCUGCUUCCCCGACCGGGUCAGGUCCCACACAACCAGCUCGCCACUGAUGACACACACAUCCACCCAUCAAUCAAUCAAUCAAUCAAUCAAUCAAGUCUCUGAGGUGAAGAUGCGUGGAGACACACCUGAAGCAGCUGGACACCAGCUGAUUGGACCGUCCCCUGGGCCACAGGACACUCAGCCACAGUCGCUCUUUGACCCCGGGGUCGAGGGCGGAGCCUCGUCUCUUCAGGUAUGGCAGUUUCAGCGUCAUCACUCCUGACGAUGAUGGGAAACUGAUCAGUGAACUGUUGUGACCUGAACAAUGAUCCGUGAUCAAUGACCAACAAACAUGGCUGCUGACCUUUGCCCUUGGCUGCGCUCCAGAUCCUGACGGUCUGGUCUUUGCUGCCAGAAGCUAACAAACCUCCGUCCUCCUCUGACAAGACGCCGUUUGUGACUGCGGUCGGCAGCAGAGGGCGCUCUCACCAGGCAGAGGCGCCCACGCCAACGAGUGGAUCUCGUCGUCGUGUCCACGGAGACGCCACACAGCUCCAGGUGUGAGGGGAACAGCUGAGGCAGAAGAUGGUGCGCGGCUCAGGGAAGAAGCUGCCAGUGUCUCCAGUGUGAUACCAGUGACACA